rnacentral:rRNA from 1 species
AUGUCGAUGGCGGUGGCCUCGCUCCGCUUCCUCGCGCGCCGCCGGCACCAGCUCCGGCUCGCCGUCCCCGGCACGCGGGCCGCAUUCCUCUCCGACACGGCGGAGGAGGCCUCGCAGGCGGCGCCGCCGCCGCCGGGCCGUAAGGUGCUGGAGAGCUUCCGCGAGGAGUUCGAGAUCGGGGGUCGCCUCAUCGCCUUCGAGACCGGGAAGAUGGCGCGCUUCGCCAACGGCUCCGUGGUCAUCUCCAUGGAGGAAACCAACGUCCUCUCCACCGUCGCCGCCGCCAAGUCCUCGGACCCCGUCCGGGACUUCCUCCCUCUAACCGUUGAUUAUCAAGAGAAGCAAUAUGCUCAAGGUGUUAUUCCCACAACAUAUAUGCGCAGGGAAGGUGCCCCUAAGGAAAGAGAACUUCUGUGUGGGCGCAUAAUCGAUCGACCAAUACGGCCAUUGUUUCCUCGUGGCUUUUACCAUGAAGUCCAGAUCACGGUAAAUGUACUUUCCUCAGAUGGAAAGCAGGACCCGGAUGUUAUGGCUGCUAAUGCAUCUUCAGCUGCUCUCAUGCUUUCUGAUGUACCUUGGGAUGGGCCAAUUGGAGUAAUACGUGUUGGAAGAAUUGAUGGGAAUUUUGUGUUGAACCCAACAGUGGAUGAGUUAGGUUUGAGUGAUCUCAAUCUAGUUUAUGCAUGCUCACGGGAUAAAACACUAAUGAUAGAUGUACAAGCUCGUGAGAUAACUGAAAGGGAUCUUCAAGCAGGAAUGAAGCUUGCGCACUCUGAGGCAGUCAAGUAUAUCGACCCUCAAAUUAGAUUGGCCAAGCGAGCUGGCAAAGAGAAAAGAGAGUACAAGCUGUCAAUGAUUUCAGAUGAAAACUACGAGAAAAUCAGAACAUUAUCAGAAGCACCAAUUGAGGAAGUCUUCACAGAUAAAUCAUACGGCAAGUUUGAGCGUGGAGAAGCCCUGCAAAAAAUCACAGAAUCUGUAAAAGAGAAGCUUGAAGAAGAAUGUGACGAGGAAAGCUUGAAGUUUCUUCCUAAAGCAGUUGAUACUGUGAGAAAGCAGGUCAUACGCAAGAGAAUAAUUAAAGAAGGUCUUAGAGUCGAUGGUAGACGACUUGAUGAGGUGCGGCCGUUGUACUGCGAAUCAAGCACAUACCCGAUAUUGCAUGGUUCUGCACUGUUUUCACGUGGAGAUACUCAGGUUUUAUGUACAGUUACCCUUGGUGCUCCUGGUGAUGCCCAGCGAUUGGAUUCAAUUGUUGGCCCACCAACAAAGCGUUUCAUGCUUCAUUAUAGUUUUCCACCAUUUUCAAUAAACGAAGUUGCCAAACGUGGGGGUUUGAAUCGACGUGAAGUUGGACAUGGCACUCUUGCCGAGAAAGCACUACUUGCUGUGCUUCCUCCAGAAGGUGACUUUCCAUAUACUGUUCGGGUAAAUUCAGAAGUCAUGGCCUCUGAUGGUUCAACAUCAAUGGCAUCAGUAUGUGGAGGAAGCAUGGCUUUAAUGGAUGCUGGGAUACCUGUAAGGGAGCAUGUUGCUGGUGUUUCAGUGGGUCUUGUCAGUGAAACAGACCCAACUACUGGAGAUAUUUCUAGUUACCGUAUAUUAACGGAUAUUUUAGGUCUUGAGGAUCACUUGGGUGACAUGGACUUCAAAAUUGCAGGAACAAGGAGAGGUAUUACUGCUAUUCAGCUGGAUAUAAAACCUGCUGGAAUACCAUUGGACAUAGUAUGUGAAAGUUUGGAGCCUGCACGAAAGGCUCGUAAUCAAAUCCUUGAUCGCAUGGAUCAGGAAAUAAGUUCUGCUCGUGCUAUCAAUGAUGGAAGUUCUCCUCGAUUAGCCACACUGAGCUUCAGCAGUGAUUCUCUUAGGAAAUUGCUUUUCCACAGGAAAAAAAUUGAGCAAGAUACAGGUGCACGGGUAUCUGUUAGUGAUGGUACAGUCACUAUUGUUGCUAAAACUCAGCCAAUUAUGGAUAAGGCUAUUGAGAAGGUUGAAUUUCUUGUGGGUCGUGAAAUUGAAGUUGGCAAGACAUACAAAGGAAUUGUUUCCUCAAUAAAGGAGUAUGGCGCUUUUGUGGAUUUCAAUGGCGGACAGCAAGGUCUUCUUCACAUUUCUGAGCUAUCACAUGAACCGGUUUCAAAAGUCACGGAUAUUAUAUCGGUUGGUCAAGCGCUCUCAUUGACAUGCAUUGGACAGGACGUGAGGGGUAAUAUUAAACUUUCACUCAAAGCAAACCUACCCCAUCCCCAUCGGCCUGAAAAGGAGUUAGCAAGUGAGGAUGCUACUCUUUUGCCAAAUCAAGACGUUGUUGGUUGUUCUGCCGUGGAGAACAUGCCCAGCAAGGAUGCUGAAGUCAAGUCAUCCAAUAGCAAAGAUGAAGAUGACACAACUGAGGAAACGCCUGCAUUUCCUACUCCUACAGUUAUAAUUCGCAGUGCUGCUGACUGCGAUGCUCAAGAUGUUGCAGAUGGUCCUACUAAGAAACGUUCAAAGGCGGCAAGUUCUAAGGUUGCAAAGCCAUCCCCUAGAGCAUCUAAACCAACCAAAGAACAGCAGGAGGCUAGGAAAGCUACCCCUAAGAAAGCAUCAACUACGUCAACUGCCAAGAAAAUUAAGAAAGAAAAGGCUGAUGAUUCUGCAAGUAAUGGGCUUGAUAAAGGGAAGAAGGCUGAUGAUUCUGCAAGUAAUGUGCUCGAUGCCAUUCCAGAAAAGGAAAUAAGCAACACCCUGAAGCAUCCGAGUCCCAAGAACUUCCGCUCAGGUUCUAUAAAGCUGGGCGAUGUAGUCACUGCAAAGGUCUACCAAAUACGGGCCUAUGGGUUAGUACUUGAGCUGAGUGAUGGAGUUCGUGGAAUGCACAAGUUUGUGGAAAAUAGCCAAAACAACUUUGAGGUUGGAGAGGAAGUGCUUGUGAAAUGCGAUACUUUCAGUGCCAAGGGUGUCCCAGUCUUCUCAUUGCUUGAUUAG